rnacentral:rRNA from 1 species
GACGAAGGGGGCAAGCGUUGUUCGGAAUUACUGGGCGUAAAGAGUGUGUAGGCGGUGCUCUAAGUUUGGUGUGAAAUCUCCCGGCUCAACCGGGAGGCUGCAUCGAAUACUGGAAUGCUAGAGGGUGGGAGAGGUAAGCGGAAUUCCUGGUGUAGCGGUGAAAUGCGUAGAUAUCAGGAGGAACACCUGUGGUGUAGACAGCUUACUGGACCACUUCUGACGCUGAGACACGAAAGCGUGGGUAGCAAACAGG